UACGAAGGGGGCUAGCGUUGUUCGGAAUUACUGGGCGUAAAGCGCGCGCAGGCGGACAGUUAAGUCAGGGGUGAAAUCCUGAGGCUCAACCUCAGAAUUGCCUUUGAUACUGGCUUGUCUUGAGACCGGGAGAGGUGAGUGGAACACCCAGUGUAGAGGUGAAAUCCGUAGAUAUUGGGUAGAACACCAGUGGCGAAGGCGGCUCACUGGCCCGGUUCUGACGCUGAGGCGCGAAAGCGUGGGGAGCAAACAGG
rnacentral:rRNA from 1 species